rnacentral:lncRNA from 1 species
CAUCUCCAGGACAAGCUUGUGUAUGAAGAUUUGUCCCUGAGGCCCAAGGAGUGGGAUGGCUCCUGGAGACCACGGGGGUGGGGAAAUGAGGAAGCAAGGAGAGUUAUCUUUACUCUUCUGAGAACAGUACUUAGAAGGAUGCUUCCAGAGGCUAAAACUUAUUUCUGAGAACCAGCCCACUCCAAUGACAGCCAGCCCCUUCUGGCUGCUUCCUCCCAGGGACCUCCAACCUGCACCCUGCUCCAAAUUAGGAUGAUACCCCAUUGUUAUCACAGCUUGGAGAUUCCUGAUAUCUCUGCUCACACGCCCACUCCCACAAUGCCCCACUACAGGGAUGAGACUAAGCUGGAACCUCCUGGAAUUCUCCACAUCCAUUUGGACAACUGGAACCCCUCCCUCUACCA